GAUGAACGCUGGCGGCGUGCCUAAUACAUGCAAGUCGAGCGAACAGACGAGGAGCUUGCUCCUCUGACGUUAGCGGCGGACGGGUGAGUAACACGUGGAUAACCUACCUAUAAGACUGGGAUAACUUCGGGAAACCGGAGCUAAUACCGGAUAACAUGUUGAACCGCAUGGUUCAACAGUGAAAGACGGUCUUGCUGUCACUUAUAGAUGGAUCCGCGCCGCAUUAGCUAGUUGGUAAGGUAACGGCUUACCAAGGCAACGAUGCGUAGCCGACCUGAGAGGGUGAUCGGCCACACUGGAACUGUGACACGGUCCAGACUCCUACGGGAGGCAGCAGUAGGGAAUCUUCCGCAAUGGGCGAAAGCCUGACGGAGCAACGCCGCGUGUGUGAAGAAGGUCUUCGGAUCGUAAAACUCUGUUAUUAGGGAAGAACAAAUGUGUAAGUAACUAUGCACGUCUUGACGGUACCUAAUCAGAAAGCCACGGCUAACUACGUG
rnacentral:rRNA from 1 species